rnacentral:rRNA from 1 species
CCUACGGGAGGCAGCAGUAAGGAAUAUUGGUCAAUGGACGAAAGUCUGAACCAGCCAUGCCGCGUGAAGGAUGAAGGCCCUCUGGGUUGUAAACUUCUUUUAUCUGGGACGAAAAAAGCUCAUUCUUGAGCACUUGACGGUACCAGAGGAAUAAGCACCGGCUAACUCCGUGCCAGCAGCCGCGGUAAUACGGAGGGUGCAAGCGUUAUCCGGAUUCACUGGGUUUAAAGGGUGCGUAGGUGGGUCUGUAAGUCAGUGGUGAAAUCUCCGAGCUUAACUCGGAAACUGCCAUUGAUACUAUAGGUCUUGAAUCAUCUGGAGGUAAGCGGAAUAUGUCAUGUAGCGGUGAAAUGCUUAGAUAUGACAUAGAACACCAAUUGCGAAGGCAGCUUACUACGGGUGUAUUGACACUGAGGCACGAAAGCGUGGGGAUCAAACAGGAUUAGAUACCCUGGUAGUCCACGCCCUAAACGAUGGAUACUCGACAUCAGCGAUACACUGUUGGUGUCUGAGCGAAAGCAUUAAGUAUCCCACCUGGGAAGUCGACCGCAAGGUUGAAACUCAAAUGAAAUUGACGCNGAGAGAGCGAGGACGACGACGAGGGGAGGAGG